rnacentral:sRNA from 1 species
CGAUUUCAACGGCGCGUCACCGAUGUGAGCCGAGUCCCCUUUGUACUCUGCUAUGUUGUGUCUGUGUUCGUGGCUUUUGUAACUAAAUCUCCGUUUUGACAUCACUUUUCAUCAUAAACUGAAAUAAUAAUAAAACACCAUCGAAACGAAUACAAAACAAAACAAACAAAAAAAAACAAAAUAAAUCAAAAAUAACAACAACAACAAAACAGAGAAUUUAAACAACUUUAGCUCAAAACCAAAAACAACCAAACCGGCGUUUUUAGGAGGAACUUUGAGGAAGUGGCUGGCAACUAAAUCUGCUCCAUACACAUAUAUACAAAAUCAAGAACCAAACCAAAACCGCAAAAAAACAACCAGAAAAUUUAAUAUUUUUUAAAGAAAAAUCCAAAAUACCAACUGAGAAUACAUAGUCAAAAGAAAAAAGGGAAAAAGAACAAAGGCAAGAAAGGGAAAGGGAAAGUACGGGGAUAAAAGCGCUCUCAGAGCCGGCGGCUUUUUUUUUUGGAGGAGGAAGAACGGGGCUAAGGAAGCUAAGCUAAGCUUAGCCUAAAAAAAACAUUUAGACUUACUGUAAACUGGGAUGAAAACUAAAAACAAAAAAACACUUAGUGAAAUUUAGCAAUAAAAUACAACAACAACAACAACAAAACAAAAACGUGAAAAUACUCAGAAUUUCUAAGAAAUUCGAAACAUUUGGAAGAAAAAGAUAGAAAAAAAACAACAGAAACUCAACGCAUCUGUCCACUGAAAUUACUACUCUAAGAAGUUAGCGCAGAACAAAUACUACUCGUCGUUGUUGUUGUUAAGGAAAAACAAUUAAACCCAUAACCAUACUACGGAAACUGUGAGACCCUGCUUCUUGCCAAAAAGAGGGUUUCAGCCCUCCCCCCCCCUCUCCACUACCGCCAAUGGCCAAAAACUAAGUCAACCAUUAAACGGAGUAUUAAGAACAACAAUAACAACAAAUUACCAUCAUCACUGCAACUGCAAAUGCGAAUAGUAUUCAUUGCCUAUGGGAGAACAUAAUCAUUAGCCUUUGUACCGAAACUCGAAUAUCAACAAAGAAACAAAGACAGAAAGAAGAAACCACAAAAUCCAACUUUAAUUCCUUAUUUCAAUAUUUUACAAAGCUAUCAAGGCAUCUGUUUUUAGUUUUAAAAGUUUUCCCUCAAAAUUAUCCCUCCCCAACCCGCCCACAACUCGAUUCCCAAUCUCUUCCCAAGUUUCUAACGAAAUUCGAUCACAACAAUAAUCCUAGCUAGCAGCAGCAGCAGCAGUAUAUAUAUACAGUACACAACACAAAAUUUUCCAAAAACAAAAACAGAAAGGAUAUCCACCACGCCCCCACAAACUAAACACGCCCUAAGAAUUAUCGCAGCAACAACAACAACAACAACUACAACAUUAAUAUAAUGGCAACAACUACCAACAACUGAAAGAAAGUUUUAAA